CCUACGGGUGGCAGCAGUGGGGAAUAUUGCGCAAUGGGCGAAAGCCUGACGCAGCGACGCCGCGUGAGGGAUGAAGGUCUUCGGAGCGUAAACCUCUGUCAGCAGGGAAGAACGGUCACUGUGCUAAUCAGCAGUGCAUUGACGGUACCUGCAAAGGAAGCGCCGGCUAACUCCGUGCCAGCAGCCGCGGUAAGACGGAGGGUGCGAGCGUUGAUCGGAAUUACGGGGCGUAAAGCGGUCGUAGGCGGUAUGUCAAGCCCAGGGUGAAAUCCCCGCGCUCAACGUGGGAACUGCCUUUGAAACUGGCAAACUGGAGUGUGUGAGAGGCUGGUGGAAUUCCAGGUGUAGGAGUGAAAUCCGUAGAUAUCUGGAGGAACAUCAGUGGCGAAGGCGACUAUCUGGCACAUAACUGACGCUGAGGAGCGAAAGCGUGGGUAGCAAACAGGAUUAGAUACCCUUGUAGUC
rnacentral:rRNA from 1 species